CCUACGGGUGGCAGCAGUGAGGAAUAUUGGUCAAUGGACGGAAGUCUGAACCAGCCAUGCCGCGUGCAGGAAGACGGCUCUAUGAGUUGUAAACUGCUUUUGUACAAGGGUAAACCUGAAUACGUGUAUUCAGCUGAAAGUACUGUACGAAUAAGGACCGGCUAACUCCGUGCCAGCAGCCGCGGUAAUACGUAGGGAGCAAGCGUUAUCCGGAUUUACUGGGUGUAAAGGGCGUGUAGGCGGGCAUGCAAGCGAGAAGUGAAAUCUGGGGGCUUAACCCCGAAACUGCUGUUGGAACUGGAUGGCUUGAGUGCGCGAGGGGCAGGCGGAAUUCCUGGUGUAGCGGUGAAAUGCGUAGAUAUCAGGAGGAACUCCGAUUGCGAAGGCAGCUUACUAAACUGCCACUGACGUUGAUGCUCGAAAGUGUGGGUAUCAAACAGGAUUAGAUACCCUAGUAGUC
rnacentral:rRNA from 1 species